rnacentral:rRNA from 1 species
AGCUCCGAUAGCGUAUAUUAAAGUUGUUGCAGUUAAAAGCUCGUAGUUGAACUUCUAGUGAUUGACGUUUUGCCGCACGGUUUGAAAUGUUAUCACUAUCCGCUUCGGUUUAUCAAUACGCACUUUGUUGGGCGAUUGUGUAACCAAGCAAUUUACUUUGAAAAAUUAGAGUGUUUCAAGCAGGCGAUUUGCUGGAAUACAUUAGCAUGGAAUAAUAGAACACGACCUCUUAGGCAUUUUAUUGGUAUAUGACUGGAGGUAAUGAUUAACAGGGACAGUUGGGGGCAUUAGUAUUGCAUUGUCAGAGGUGAAAUUCAUUGAUUAGUGCAAGACUAACUUAUGCGAAAGCAUUUGCCAAGGAUGUUUU